AUGAUCCUUGCAGUGGUCAAACGCUCACCUGGGGGGAGAAAGAUCGACCCUUUACGAUCAUUCCUUUCCUCCCAUGAGCACCCUGUGCCUUGCUAAGCCCCUUGGUGAGUGACAUUCAUCUGGAAUGUAAUUUAGAAUUCCUUGGCAUCGAAGACAUCCUGAAAACUGUGAAAGAUGACCCGCAUUCUACUUUAAGACCUUUAAAGUACGUCUUUAUCAUUUAACCUUUCUGCUUAAAAAAAUAUCUAAAUCAUUCCACACCAUUUAUUUUCUUUAAUCAGAUUUCAGCUUUUUUUCAGUGGAGGAAAUCCUCUAUCAUCUUUGUUUUCUUGACAACAAAAUGGCUGGUGGCAUUUGUACACCUGAUGAGGUAAUGACAGUUUAUACAUUUUGCAUUUACGAAAGGGGGAAAUUAACAGUUCACCUGGUAGAAAAUUACUAUUGACCAAAGGAAAUGCCUUAUCAGAGUCUGGACUUCAAACAUAUUGGCAAACAAUCUUUUUCACUAAUGACUGUAUGUGCCUCAGGCCUUACCCUGUCUGCUGGCUUAUGACUAUAAUAUGGUCAGUGAUCCUGGGAGGUCAUAGACAAGUACAAAGAAAUGACUUACUAGUUACAGUCCUGUAUUUUUUAUCUUGUGCUCUGCAAGACUGUAUCUUGUCUUGUUGUAAUGUUGGCUUGUAUUUGUGUUUUGUAAUUGGAUACCAUUUUGUAUCAGACUUAUCACUACCAUCUUCUCGUAGCAGACAAAACAUACAUUCAAAAGCUGUGGGUACACUUAGUUGAUGUGUUUGAGUUUCUGUUCUUUGGCGUUGUCAUGGUGACGCCCUGUGCUGGAUUGGGACACAACGCUCGGCGGCGUGAGGACUCGAGCAGGCCGGAGGUGUGUCUGUGGAGGUGCGUCAGAGUGGCGUGGGACUCCCUACAUUCCUGUUAGGGCAGAGGGACAGAAUCACAUAAAAGCACCCCAGCAAGGCCUGAAGACCCCUGCUGCCAGCUGGACAAUACACUCUGUGAUGGAGGGUUGACCAAUGUGUGUGUUGGGGGGGUGAGGGCCUUGUGGUUUGGAGUGCAGG